GCACGGGUCCCGUCUCCCGGCGCAUCACUCCCACUUUGUGAAGCGUAACUGCGGCCGCGUUGCCCGCUGGGAAACGUAGUUCUGCGGGGGAGGUGGGCUGGCCCCUCCCCCUCCGGGCCCAGGCGCGGCAGUAAGGCGGGCGAACUGCUGGGAUACCCGCUCCUCACCGCCCACCCGGAAGCGGAGCCUGGCUGGGGAGGACCCUGGAGCCGCGCCUGGGGCCCGGCGGGCCGCGCCUCGACGGCUUUUGCCAAGUUUCUGAUUAAAGAUUGACGUCCCUGCAUAAGCAUUUCCCUGUUAAAAUGUCCUUGCCUCUUACAGAGGAGCAGAGGAAAAAAAUUGAAGAGAACCGGCAAAAGGCUCUGGCCCGUAGAGCUGAGAAAUUAUUAGCAGAACAGCAUCAGAGCUCAGGCUCUGGCUCCUGCAUUGCCACCAACUCUUCCCAGUCCAGACAGGGCCUGCCCCCAAAUCUCCCCGGGGAUCCUUCUAAGCCAGUGAACCAUGGUGUCAUUUUCAUGCAGCAGAAUCUCAGUAGUUCAUCUAGUGAUGGCCAAAGACCUCAUCAUUGCCACAGUUUUCACCUGAGUGCUCCAGAGCAGACAGAGAGGACCUGGAAGAGGCAAGAAGAUGUGCCCGCAGCCUGCCCGAGCCACAGCUCAUCAGGUCAAAUGAUUCUCACGGGCAUCUCUCCUCCCUUGGCGCAAAGCCCUCCGGAGGUCCCCGAUCAACAACUCUUGGGUUGUGCCUUAGGUCAAGGUCAUCUUCAGGCUUCCCACGAGGCCAGAUCCACGCCCUUUGCUAACCCAACUCCUGAAUCUUUGGCCAAAGCCAAGAGUUUCCAGAAGACACCAGCUUCUGCCUUUGGACUGCCACCCGGUGAUCCCAGGUUAGAGGCCAAGGCAGUGAGGCCCUCCACGUCGGGGCAGACCAUUGCUGGCGUCCACUGUGGCUCAGGGAGUGUGACACCCAGGUCGGAAGGAAGACUCUCACAGAAAUUGGGGACCGCAGCCACCCAUAAAGCAGUAAGCUCCCAGAGGGGAACGUGCAUAAGGAGUGGGGAUCGUUUCCAGGUGAAGAUCGGGUACAAUGAAGAGCUCAUUGCGGUUUUUAAGAGCCUACCCAGCAGAAGUUAUGAUCCUGCCACCAAGACGUGGAACUUCAGCAUGACGGACUAUGGUGCCCUGAUGAAAGCAGCCCAGAAGCUCCCCACGGUCACCCUGCAGCCUUUGGAAGGGGCCGGGCACAGCAGGGAGUCACCCUCCACAGGUGGCACGGCCCAGACCUGCCUGCCUUCAGCUCCCUCCCUGGCCUUUGUCAAAGGGCAAUGCGUGCUCAUCUCCCGGGCCCGCUUUGAGGCAGACAUCGGCUACUCUGAAGCUCUGGUUGCGCUAUUUAAGCAGAUGGAUUCCAGAAGUUACGAUGUCAAGACCAGGAAAUGGAACUUUCUCUUGGAAGAGCACAAUAAACUAAUCCAGAGGGUGCGCUGCCUUCCACAAGUUCAGCUGGAUCCUCUGCCCAAGACCCUCACCCUGGCGUUCGCGUCACAGCUAGAGAAGACGUCUCCCUGCCUCACACAACCCAUCCCCGAGGCUGACCUUUCUGGAGUGGACCCCAAGCUCGUGUCCAGUCUGCUGCCCUUCCAGAGAGCAGGAGUCAAUUUUGCAAUAGCGAAGAGAGGCCGCCUGCUGCUUGCUGACGACAUGGGCCUGGGGAAGACCAUCCAAGCCAUCUGCAUUGCGGCCUUUUACCAGAAGGAGUGGCCGCUCCUGGUGGUGGUACCAUCAUCUGUGCGCUUCACCUGGGAGCAGGCCUUCCUUCGGUGGCUGCCAUCUCUGAGCCCGGAGCGCAUCAAUGUCGUGGUGACCGGCAAGGACCGCCUGACAGCUGGCUUGGUCAACAUUGUCAGUUUUGACCUUCUGAGCAAGUUAGAAAAACAGCUAAAAACCCCUUUUAAAGUUGUCAUCAUCGAUGAGUCUCACUUCCUCAAGAAUAUAAAGACUGCCCGCUGCCGCGCAGCCAUGCCCCUCCUCAAGGUUGCGAAGAGAGUGAUCCUGCUGUCCGGCACACCAGCCAUGUCCCGGCCCGCAGAGCUCUACACCCAGAUCAUCGGGGUCAGGCCAACUUUCUUCCCUCAGUUUCAUGCUUUUGGACUUCGCUACUGUGAUGCCAAGCGGCAGCCCUGGGGAUGGGACUAUUCGGGCUCCUCCAACCUGGGCGAGCUGAAGCUCCUGCUGGAGGAAGCGGUCAUGCUGCGACGCCUCAAGUGUGAUGUCCUCGCUCAGCUCCCACCCAAGCAGCGCAAGAUGGUCAUCAUUGCCCCCGGCCGGAUCAGCACCAGGGCCAGAGCUGCCCUGGACGCCGUGGCCAAGGAAAUGACCACCAUGGACAAAACUAAACAGCAGCAGAAAGAAGCUCUCCUUCUCUUCUUCAACAGAACAGCUGAAGCUAAAAUCCCAUCUGUCAUUGAAUAUAUCCUGGACCUCCUGGAAAGUGGAAGAGAGAAGUUUCUGGUGUUCGCACACCAUAAGGUAGUCCUGAGUGCAGUUACAAGAGAGCUUGAGAAAAAGCACGUGCCACACAUCCACAUCGACGGCUCCACCUCCUCGGCGGACCGAGAGGACCUGUGCCAGCAGUUCCAGCUGUUCGAGAAGCACGCUGUGGCCGUGCUGUCCAUCACCGCUGCCAACAUGGGCCUCACCUUCACCUCGGCUGACCUGGUGGUGUUUGCUGAGCUCUUUUGGAAUCCAGGGGUGCUGCUUCAGGCUGAGGACCGGGUGCACCGAAUCGGACAGUCGAGCUCUGUGAGCAUCCACUACCUCGUGGCGAAAGGCACAGCUGAUGACUACCUCUGGCCCCUAAUUCAAGAGAAGAUUAAAGUUCUGGGUGAAGCCGGACUUUCUGAGACCAAUUUUUCAGAAAUGACAGAAGCUCCUAAUUACUUCUACAAGGACCCAAAGCAGCAGAAGAUCUAUGACCUCUUCCAGCAGUCCUUCGAGGAAGACGGAAGCGACCUGGAGCUCCUGGAGGCCGCGGAAUCCUCUGACCCCAGAAGUGCUUCGGGUGCACCUGGAAAUGAUUUCCAGGACCUGGGAGACACGCCGGACGGGACCAUGGUGACCGGCAGCCCCGUGAAGAAAAGGAGAUUUGAGUUUUUUGAUAACUUUGACAGCUUUACCUUUCCCCUGUAAGAGGGGGAGGAAAAAGGCAUUUAAAAAUCAUGGAACUUGUUAACAUAAGGUGUUCGUUUCUACUUGCACCAUCCUCGACGUUACAGCAGUGCUGGCGUCUGUUACCAGGCUGGGGGUCGGUGUUGCCUCUCUGGCCUUUCUGCGCGGGUGUGCGGGGUCUUAUCCUCGGCUUCUCUGGCUGAGGACUAGAGACAGCAGGCUGCAGUAGUGACAGUUGGGGCGCUUUAAGUACCGAGAUGCUUCCCACGCAGCCUCUGAAAUCCGGAUUUUUAAAUUUGUUGGUUCAACAAAUAUUUAUAGAGCACCUGAUAUGUGCCAGGCAGCGUUCUAGGUGCCGGCAGCCAUUCACCAAACAAAAGAGAGAAGAAAGCUCGUACCUCUGCAGAAGUUCUGUCUGUAGGAGAAGUCAUAGUUACACAUCCUAAGAAGAAGAGAGCAGUUCCGGAGGGUCGGAGCUCCUCAGGAAAUCCAGCCUGAACACCCACAUCUAAAGUGCAAGAGUUGCUUCUCCUGUCUUUCUGGAAAGGAUUGUGGAGAUGAGCAGCUGAGCCUGCAUUCCGCCAGUGUGCCCUGCCGUGAGGAGCUCUGCUGUGGUGCCCCAUCUCCAUAACUAGGCCUUUGCUUUCCUCUAUUAACCUCCUGAAACAAGAACAAGUGAUACCUAGAGAAAAUCCAGAGUCAAAGGCCUGAGAGAGAGUGCUCACCUGGGCCCUCCUCUAGGUCACCUGAAGUCAUCCUACACUGUCUUAUUACUUUCAGCUCUCUGUUUUAUUUUUAAAUUUUGUUAGCUGUACCGGUUUGUUUAUAAUAGUGACUAUGACUUGUCAGAAGCUUCCAGAGGACAAGUAUUGGGUCCUUCUAAAGUUUACUCUAACUUUGUCCCAAACAGCUGCUUAAUGGUAAUUAAGUAAUUAAGAGCAAUGGCUGCUGUGUCCUCAAGUAUGUUGUACCAAGUCCCCUCAGGAGUGGGUGCUCUGGAAAGCCAACUGCAUCACUUGAUGGUUGCUGCCCUUGGAGUUCCAAAAUCAAUCUGCAAUGGACACAGCAAUCAGCAUAGAUCCGGAAAAGGACACAGUCGAUUGUGCACUGGGUGGCCUACUGGGAGGGGGCCCAACAGGGACAGAAUCUGGGACAGAAUCUGUAGGAAAAGAAAUGCUAAAAUCUUACCUCAACGUUACUCAUGAGGUUUUUGUAAUGAUUUUUGCAAUCUUGGUGGCUCGUUCAUGGAAACAAUACAAUCACUUCAUUAGGGGAACAUCUGUGGAAUGAGUUAAGGCCCAGGAAGCAGAAAGGUUUUGGAUCACCCUUAGAUGCUGAGAGAGGUAUAGAAAGGAGCAUCUCUUCCUCGCCUGCCCCAGAGCCUAUGCACAGCCUCUGCUCCCAUUGCUCAUAUCAUGUGGCUUGAGAAGCAUUAGGAAGCCCUCUUCUGUGAGUCUGUGGGCUUCUCCAGAGACUGCCACCUGCCUGUUGCUCAUGCAAAGAAGAUUGGGUACAGCUUUCUCAUGGGCUCCGCUGGACUUUGGUCAAGUUCUUUAGAGUCUCAGAGAAUGAGAUCGUAGCUUCUCAUUCCUUAACUUCUCUUAAUAGUUCCUCCUUACCCUAGGGAUAAUAAAGGAAAAUGUGCAAGUGAUUUUGAGACAUAUAUCCAGGGUUGCUUAGGAGACUCACCGACCAUUGUUGAAUUAAUAAAUCUCUGCUUUAUUUACUGCGUGGCCUGCCACACAGAGUGGCCCUUUCAGCAAGGUGACAGAUCCAUGUCUGCCAUUGGGAGACUUUGCCCUUGGUCCUUGCGACUUGAUCGCAUUUGAUCCACAAUUCCUCUGUAGUCUUAGUAAAUAUGGUCUGUUGAACCUCCGUCUGAAGCCUCUGCUUAAACCUCAGUUUCAGCUGAUUUGGAGAAAGACUCGCUCUCUCUGAGAUGUCCUUGAGGUCCUCCAAAGCAAAUGUUAUUUAUACCACGAAGCCUGUAUAUGCCAGGUUAUACCAUCCCAAAUAUACCUCUAGAAUUUGUUGAGAACCACCCAACCAUUUCUGUGUGAUUCAGAGAAGACCCUGGGACUUACUUAUCAAGAGUGAAUGCCUUUGGGCUUAGGGAAGGAUUUCUGCACUAACUCCUUUUCCUUCUUUUCUUCAUAUCUCAGUCCAGACACACACCUGCCACCAUCCAGUGUAUUUUCUGGGAAUCUGGGCCUAUCUCAUCCCACUUCCGGUCCCCGCUGUCACCAGGGUCAUCGUUCCCUGAAUGACCCUGGUUAAUUCCUGCCUCUAGGGCUGGCACCAGGAAGACUCCUAGAGGGAACAGAGAUCCUGUUAGCCUUGAUCCAUUUGUACUUGAAUUAAUCAUGUCUUUUCCUUCUUGGCUUCCCACAAGCCUUUUUCUAGGUCAGAGGGAGAGCUAAGAAACAGAGCUGGCGGUGCCGUCUCCUCACUGCUGGCUCUUAGGUUUUGCCUCGUCUGUGCAUUCUUGCCUAUUGGAACCCUGAUGCUUGCUUGCUCUCUUUCUCUCUCUCUCUUUCUUCCUAAGACUUUAUUUACUUAGAGAGAGAGAGAGAGAGAGAGCACGAGCAAGUGGAGGGGCAGAGGGAGAAGCAGACUCCCCACUGAGCCAGGACCCUGGGAUCACGACCUGAGCCACCCAGAUGCCCCAGAACCUUGAUGCUCUCUGAAGCUAUUUUUAAGUGAAAUUUAAACUGCAAAAGGGAUGAAAAGAAGUCCCACCUUAUUUCCUACUUUAUCCUCACUUCUUACUGUGUGGAGGAUUACAAGGUUAAAAAAAGUGUCAUGGAAGCUUAAAGAGAAUUUGUUGGGAGCCUCUCUCAUACCUGUGUAUUUUGGUUUUGUGUUUUCCUGUGAGGUCCCAGCAAAGGAAGUGGAUUCCUAAUCGUAGCAGAAAACAUUGAGAAGCCUGUGACUCACAGUGCUUGGGAUAUUAUGACAGCCAACAGUUACUUGAUUUUGUAACACCCUCUGCCCACAUCCCCCCCACCAACCCAUUCAUCUGAUUUAUGGAGUGCCAGGCACUUUUCUUCUUUGUUUUUAACCCUCCCUUUUAGUGUGAAAUAUCAGACAUAAGAGAGUUCAUAAGACACAAUUACAGCUUAACAAAUAUUACAAAAUAAACACGUAACCAUAACUCCCAAGAUUGCGAAUAUGUUCUAGAAGCUUUAUUGGUUUGCUUUUAAUGUGUAGAUUUACAACCCAAUUGCAGUUUAUUUUUGUACAUGGAGUGAGAUAAGGUCAAGGUGAAUUUUUUUUCCAUAUGAAUAUGCAGUUUCUCAGCAUCACUUACUGAAAAGAUUGUCGCUUCAUCCAGUGCUCUGAAGUGCCUUCUUUUCACUAUUAAAAUUUGAUGUAAAAAUUAACUACUCAGAGUGCCUGGGUGUCUCCGUUGGUUAAGCAGUUAAGCAUCUGAUGACUCUUGAUUUUAUCUCAGGGUCUUGGGUUGGCACCCCACAUCAGUCUGUGCUCAGGGCAGAGUGCCUUGACCCUCUCCUUCAGCCCCUCCUCCCGCUCAUGCUCAUGCACUCUCUCAUUCUCUCUCAAAUAAAUAAAUAAAAUGUUUAAAGAUAAUAAAAAUAAAAAAUAAAGAUGUAUAAGUAAAAAAAAAUAAAAGCCCUACAUUCUCCUCUUUCCUAUUCCUAGCCCUACUUCCUACAGGUAAUAACUAAUAUAAACAAUUUGGGAGGGAGCCCUUGGUAUUUUAUUCCCAAUGCAUAUAAAUUUACAUUGAAUUGUUCUUACAAAAAUUGUAUCAAACUCUUUAUAUUAAAAAUGAUUCGUUUUA